GGUUCUUCUAGUAUAAAAACCAGAUCAUCUACAAAUGCCUGUAAUUUAUACUCCUCUUUUCUUACUUCCAUCCCUUUUAUCUCUUUAUCUUUUCUAAUAGCUCUAUUUAAUACUUCUUAAGUCAAUACAAACAGCAAAGGU